GACGAACGCUGGCGGCGUGCUUAACACAUGCAAGUCGAACGGAAAGGCCCUGCUUUUGUGGGGUGCUCGAGUGGCGAACGGGUGAGUAACACGUGAGUAACCUGCCCUUGACUUUGGGAUAACUUCAGGAAACUGGGGCUAAUACCGGAUAGGAGCUCCUGCUGCAUGGUGGGGGUUGGAAAGUUUCGGCGGUUGGGGAUGGACUAGCGGCUUAUCAGCUUGUUGGUGGGGUAGUGGCUUACAAAGGCUUUGACGGGUAGCCGGCCUGAGAGGGUGACCGGCCACAUUGGUACUGCGAUACGGCCCAGACUCCUACGGGAGGCAGCAGUGGGGAAUAUUGCACAAUGGGCGGAAGCCUGAUGCAGCAACGCCGCGUGCGGGAUGACGGCCUUCGGGUUGUAAACCGCUUUCGCCUGUGACGAAGCGUGAGUGACGGUAAUGGGUAAAGAAGCACCGGCUAACUACGUG
rnacentral:rRNA from 1 species